rnacentral:lncRNA from 1 species
GUGUGCCCAUAUGAAAAUUUUUCUGUUUAAACGAUCAGAACUCAUAUUGUUCAAACGGCACCAUAGUCGAAUUAAGCAUUGCCAUUGUUUUUGAAAGAUAGGUAUCCACCCCAUAUCCCCUGCAACUGCAGCAUUUGGAGUAUAUUUACCCACUCCAAGAAAAAAUCUGCAAGCUCUAUUAUGGAUGGCAUUUAUAAAAGAAAAAUUUUUGCAACCCCAAAUACCAGCACCAUAUUCAACAAUGGGAAGCACCAAACUCUCAUAUAAUUUUGAAAAG